rnacentral:rRNA from 1 species
GAGAGCUUGCUCUCGGGUGACGAGCGGCGGACGGGUGAGUAAUGUCUGGGAAACUGCCUGAUGGAGGGGGAUAACUACUGGAAACGGUAGCUAAUACCGCAUAACGUCGCAAGACCAAAGUGGGGGACCUUCGGGCCUCAUGCCAUCAGAUGUGGGCAGAUGGGAUUAGUUAGUAGGUGGGGUAACGGCUCACCUAGGCGACGAUCCCUAGCUGGUCUGAGAGGAUGACCAGCCACACUGGAACUGAGACACGGUCCAGACUCCUACGGGAGGCAGCAGUGGGGAAUAUUGCACAAUGGGCGCAAGCCUGAUGCAGCCAUGCCGCGUGUGUGAAGAAGGCCUUCGGGUUGUAAAGCACUUCAGCGGGGAGGAAGGCGGUGAGGUUAAUAACCUCAUCGAUUGACGUUACCUUAAGAAGAAGCACCGGCUAACUCCGUGCCAGCAGCCGCGGUAAUACGGAGGGUGCAAGCGUUAAUCGGAAUUACUGGGCGUAAAGCGCACGCAGGCGGUCUGUCAAGUCGGAUGUGAAAUCCCCGGGCUCAACCUGGGAACUGCAUUCGAAACUGGCAGGCUAGAGUCUUGUAGAGGGGGGUAGAAUUCCAGGUGUAGCGGUGAAAUGCGUAGAGAUCUGGAGGAAUACCGGUGGCGAAGGCGGCCCCCUGGACAAAGACUGACGCUCAGGUGCGAAAGCGUGGGGAGCAAACAGGAUUAGAUACCCUGGUAGUCCACGCCGUAAACGAUGUCGAUUUGGAGGUUGUGCCCUUGAGGCGUGGCUUCCGGAGCUAACGCGUUAAAUCGACCGCCUGGGGAGUACGGCCGCAAGGUUAAAACUCAAAUGAAUUGACGGGGGCCCGCACAAGCGGUGGAGCAUGUGGUUUAAUUACGAUGCAACGCGAAGAACCUUACCUGGUCUUGACAUCCACAGAACUUUCCAGAGAUGGAUUGGUGCCUUCGGGAACUGUGAGACAGGUGCUGCAUGGCUGUCGUCAGCUCGUGUUGUGAAAUGUUGGGUUAAGUCCCGCAACGAGCGCAACCCUUAUCCUUUGUUGCCAGCGGUUCGGCCGGGAACUCAAAGGAGACUGCCAGUGAUAAACUGGAGGAAGGUGCCGAU